UGAGCGCACACGCAGCACUGGGGA
rnacentral:piRNA from 1 species